CAUAGCCUGUGGGUCAUAUAUCUCAGGUAAUUACUGCUCAAUGUCUCAAUGAAUAGCCGUGGUAUAUAUGACCAUGCUAAGGUAGCAUAAUAAUUUGUCUAAUAAUUCUAGACUGGAAUGAAUGUAAUCACACGGUUCUAAUGUCUCCCUCCUUAUUGGUUGAAUUUCCUUUAUAGGUGAAAAGGCCUAUAACGAAUAAUGGGACGAGAAGACCCUUAGAAUUUGUAAAAGAUUUCACUGGGGCGGUGAUGGCUUGAAUCAGCCAUAAUAAUACAAGACGGACGUCUCAUGUGUGAGUAAAUUACCUAAGGGAUAACAGCAUAAUAAUAUAAAUUUGAUUGUGACCUCGAUGUUGGACUAGGGAACUCCAGGGCCAGAAGCUCUGGAGGUAGGUUCUGUUCGAACUUCAGGGCCCUACGUGAU
rnacentral:rRNA from 1 species